CCUACGGGGGGCAGCAGUGAGGAAUAUUGGUCAAUGGGCGAGAGCCUGAACCAGCCAAGUCGCGUGAGGGAAGACGGUCCUAUGGAUUGCAAACCUCUUUUGUCGGGGAGCAAAAAGACUACGUGUAGUCCCAAGCGAGAGUACCCGAAGAAAAAGCAUCGGCUAACUCCGUGCCAGCAGCCGCGGUAAUACGGAGGAUGCGAGCGUUAUCCGGAUUUAUUGGGUUUAAAGGGUGCGUAGGCGGAAUGCCAAGUCAGCGGUAAAAUCGCGGGGCUCAACCUCGCUCCGCCGUUGAAACUGGCGUU
rnacentral:rRNA from 1 species